UGAUAAUAUAGAUCAGGCCUGCACUCUCAGGAUUUGGAGAUAGCCUGGUAGAAAUGACAACCAUAAUGUUAAUACUCACCACUUCUCACAAAACUGGGACAACUAACUGUUUAUCCAACAUCUGCUGGCUAAAUAAAGACAUGAUCUUCACCUUUUGGGAUUGUUAAUUUAAAAUGGUUCCAUAAGAGCAAUGCAAAGACAGAGAUAUUUGGCAGCACUGCAGCUGGUGAUUUAUAUGGCUUUUCACAACGUGUUAUUUUGGGUAUCAAGGUAUGGAUGCUUAAAUCAGCUGCAGGAAGUAAGAAAGAAGAAAAAAGGAGUGAUAAAGAUAAAAAAAAAUCAACCUUGGUCCUUCCACCAAGACCCAUUAAUUUCCAUAUCAUCAUCUGCAUAAGAGGGAAGAUUCCUACAUGACCAGGUUACUGCAAGGAUGUGAAUUUUGAAUAUUAAAAUAUUAUAUACAAUUGGAAAUAA